rnacentral:lncRNA from 1 species
UUUGGUAACUUACUCAGAACAAGAAAAAACAGACACACAUAAACACACUUGUUUUUUUACUAAAGUUAUUUUUUCUUCCAAUGGCAACUGAAAACAAAAUCCUGAUCCUAGGACCAACAGGAGCUAUUGGAAGACACAUAGUUUGGGCAAGUAUUAAAGCAGGAAAUCCAACAUAUGCUUUGGUUAGAAAAACACCUGGCAAUGUUAACAAGCCAAAGCUUAUUACAGCUGCUAAUCCUGAAACCAAGGAAGAGCUUAUUGAUAAUUACCAAUCUUUAGGAGUUAUUCUACUUGAAGUAAGUGAUUUCAAUUUCUGAAAUAAUUUUAUAUUUUAUACUAAUUAAAUUUUUCUAAUCAAUAUGUCUUUGACUCUGCAGGGUGAUAUAAAUGAUCAUGAAACUCUUGUUAAGGCAAUCAAGCAAGUUGAUAUUGUGAUUUGUGCUGCUGGUAGACUACUAAUUGAGGAUCAGGUCAAGAUUAUUAAAGCAAUUAAAGAAGCUGGAAACGUUAAGGUGAGCAAAUUUGUCACUACACCACACUAAAUAAGUUCAAAUAAGUCAAUCUAAAUAAACUAUUAAGUAAUAGCUCCUUUGCUGGUUAGAUUUCGGCUUGUUAUAUUGAAUGUUGGUACUAAAUUUCUUGUGUCUACAGAAAUUUUUCCCAUCCGAAUUUGGGCUAGACGUGGACCGUCACGAGGCAGUUGAGCCAGUUAGACAAGUUUUUGAAGAAAAAGCGAGUAUCCGAAGAGUAAUUGAAGCUGAAGGAGUUCCUUACACUUACCUUUGUUGCCACGCCUUUACCGGUUACUUCUUACGUAACUUGGCUCAACUCGACGUCACUGAUCCUCCUCGGGAUAAAGUUGUCAUUCUUGGAGAUGGAAAUGUGAAAGGUAGCAAACUUAUUCACAAAACAGUUUUAGUACUAGUAUUCUACUAAACAUACAUCAUUCAAUUGUUUCAACAUUUGCCUUAAUUUUUUUUUUUUUCAGGAGCUUAUGUCACUGAGGCUGAUGUUGGGACUUUUACCAUUAAAGCAGCAAAUGAUCCCAACACAUUGAACAAAGCUGUCCAUAUAAGACUCCCCAAAAAUUAUUUGACCCAAAAUGAGGUUAUUUCUCUUUGGGAGAAAAAGAUUGGGAAGACUCUUGAGAAAACUUAUGUUUCAGAGGAACAAGUUCUCAAGGAUAUUCAAGGUCAGUAAAAUAAACGCUUUAUAAAUAUUGUUAAGAAUUUUUACAAUGUUAAUCAAUCAAUAAAUCGUUAAAAUUAUUUGAUUUUAAUUAUAUCUAUGCUUACUACGCAGAAUCUUCAUUCCCUCAUAACUACUUGUUGGCAUUGUAUCAUUCACAACAAAUAAAAGGAGAUGCAGUUUAUGAGAUUGAUCCAACCAAAGAUAUUGAAGCUUCUGAAGCCUAUCCUGAUGUCACAUACACCACUGCUGAUGAAUAUUUGAAUCAAUUUGUCUAAGUUUGUCAUCCCGGAAAUGUUAAAUAAGACAAAGAUUAUUUUUUCUUAAUAGUUUCACAUGUUGUACCACAUCAAUUAUAUUGUUAGUUGUCCUUGUUGUCUUGUUCUCAAUAAACCUUCCAAUUGAUGUAAUAUUUUACAAAAAUAAUAAUAUUGUAUUGUUCUAUUGUUUGCACAUUUGUGUCACUAGUAUCACUCUAUUAUUUUGUUGUUGCCCGUGAAUGGGUGACUCAAUAAAUUAUUUAAUACCCACGUCAGGAUGGACCGAUCUACCGUAUGAAGCAAUAUUUGUUUGGUCUCGGUUAUAAAUUUAAAUUAUUUACACACAUGCAAAAGAAAAAAAGUAGAAAGAAUGAACCAAUAUUUUUUUAUUUUAUUUUUAUGGGGGUGUUUGUUUGGGAGAUAAAAAAUAUAUUCCUGGGUAUAAGGGCAUUAAAUAUGAUAUUCCUAUGUUUGGUAGAAGGGAACAAAAAUAAUAUACCCAGGAAUAAAUGAUUCCCAGGAAUCUUAUUUACCCGUUGACUCUCUAUUUUUAUUCCCGGGGGUGGGGGGCUGGAAUCUUCAAUUCCUGAGAAUGAAAUCUCCACAUUCAUGACGAAAACCCACCCAUACCCCUAUUUUACCCACGCUUCUUCCCUCCUAAUUUUUCCCACGCGUUUUCUAAAUUAAUAGAAACCCACAUAUAUAUAAACCCCUCUUUGCUCUCUCUUUUCACUCAUCUGGAUCCAGAUCCAUCCAUAACAGGUUUGUGUCUUAUGUUUUGUUUUGUUUUUUGCGUUUUUUUAACUGCUGGACAGAUUCUCGGCCUGCCAGGCUGCUGUACCAGCGGAGCUGGGCCGCGCAAAUGCGAGUUUCGGUGACUGACAUUCGAGCGGGCAUCCACCAUUCUGUUGCUGUUGCAUGUCAAAGGUGUUGGGCAGUCUGCCAACCUUCAAUUAAAUGGCGUGUAACAACUUGAAACAGGGUACUCUUGUUAUGUAUUAAAAAACAAGUAUAUACCCUGACCAAUACCUUUGUUGACUCGCAUAAUUUACUUUGCUUGAUUAAAAAUAACAUGAAAAAUAUUAUUUUUCAUCAAUUUAAUGUAAAAGGGUAUUUUAAUAAUUUUGACAUUUAUUCCUGGGAUUAUACAUUUUAAACCAAACAUAUUUUUAGUAUUCCCAGGAAUUUAGAAAGAAAGUUCCAAGGAAUUCAAAUUGGUAACCAAACACUUUUUUAAAAUAUUCCUAGGAAUAUAAUUCCAAGGAAUAUAUUCCUGGGAAAAUUAUUCCAGGGAAUAAUUUUUGCAUCUGUGAAACAAACGGCCCCUAUAUUAUUGAAAUAAGUGCCCUAAAGGCAUUUGUUAGCAUUCUCCUUAAAAUAAUUAUAUGAUGUGUAUUUUGAUUGUGCACUUAAAUGAUUUGAAUUUGUGGUUGUGACUAUAUAAAAAUUAUUCGACGGCAUGAUCAACAGACCGUGUGAACAAUUGAAAUAUAUUAAAUAAUCAUGUUCAGACAUCCCUUACUUGUAGAGGUGUCAAAUGGACUGGACAACCCAGUUCGGCUUAAGAGUUUUGACUACAUAAAUGAACCAGUCUGACCAAGCCCAUUUGUAAUUGGGCCGCAUAAAAUAUAAUUGAAUGGAUAUAGAAGUAUAAAUAUUUUUUACAUUACCAUUAAAUACUAAUUAAACUCUAGAUUUAUUUCUUCAAUUGAAUCAAAUUAAUACUACAUCCGUCCAUAAUUAUAGGAUCCUUUUGAAAAAUAACAGGAAUUAAGAAAAUUAAAAGUGAUAAUAAAUUUGUUUUUAAUUACAAUUGUUUUUACAAAUUUGUCUUUUAAGAGUGGGUUAGUCCGUUAAUGUAUGUUUACAAUGUAGUAUUUAAUGAUGAUUGAAGAAAAAGAUAUACAAUAAAUAGGGGUAUGGUGGUAAAGAAUUAAUUAAUAUAUUUGGAAAUAGCAAAGAGAUUUUUAUAAAAAGAGACAAAAAAAUUCUCAAAAGGGUCCUAUAAUUAGGGACAGAGACAGUAGUUUAUAAACUUUAGAAUUUUAAAACUUUGAACUAAAUUUAUGCAUUUUUAUUAAGUUGACUUAUUUCAAUAUAUUUUAUUAAUAAAUUUUUAAAGUAGUUGAUAAUGUUUUUAAAAAAUAUAGCGUUUUUUAACAAAAAUAAAAUAAAAGUAUAGAUAGUAGGUCGGUCCGAAGUCCGAUAGGUUAGCCUGACUCGGCCCCAUUUUCAUAUGGAUCAAAUGAGCUAAGGUAAAAAAAAAUACGAGAGUAUUUUUAGUUAGGUUUGUGGUUCGGCCCAAAAUGUGUCAUUUUUUAUGUCUCUACUUACUAGCCAUCUCACCAUUAACAACGAUUUGUCAACUAAACAAUGUCAUCUUCUUUUCUAUUAAAGUUAACCCGGAAGCCCUAAUUUUAACCUAAACUAUAUUGCAUAAAUUUACUGUUUUAACCCUAAUGCUUAAUUCCUUUGUUUAAUCCUAUUAACCCUAUUUCUUGGUUGAAACAAAUUGAACCUAAUCUCCUAUUUUCUUGAAUAAAACAAAUUGGCCCUAUUUCUUCAACAAAACAAAUCGCUUUAUUUCUUGCUUUAAAAAAGAAACAACAACUCAAGUUGGGAUACUCUACUUGACCUAGAAGAGAAAUAACGGAAAGAAGAACUUGCCUUUUUGAGAACUUAUUGUCGGAACUCGGAAGCAAUGGUGAUCUGCUAAGUUUAUGGCGAGUUCGAUUGAUUAUGAGCUGCUAAGUUCGAUUGAGUAAGAGUUCGAUUGAUUAUGAGUUGCGAAGUUCCAUUGAGUAACAGGCAACAAAUCCUUCUUCUCAUGGCGGUAGGGAUGAGAGAUUUUGCUUACAACAAAUUAAUGGCAUGAUCAUAGGAAAGAGAUUUUAGUUUCUAGGUUUAGUAAGAACAAUGGGAUGAGAAAUGAUGAGGUAGAGUUGCAUGUGAAGAUAUGAUGAGGGAGAUAAAGAUGUUGAUAGGUUUUGGAAUAGGAAAGUAAUUUUUAUGAGAGAGGUUGACUACAGCUAUAAAAUAAAUGAUAAUUAUAUUUAUUUGAUACUUCCUAAAUGUUGUUACUUGAGAGUUAAAACGAUCUCUUUCCUGUGCAAACUAAAAAAUAAAGAGAAUAUAUGAAUUUUUAAUUCCAGCUAUUUUUUAUUCUUUUUUUUUUUUGUCUUUGAAAAUUGAUCUUUAAACUUCAUUAUUUGAAAAAAUCGAUUAUUUAUACUUUAACUAUUUUUAUUAAACUUAAUGUCUACUAAAAAUACAAUCUUAUUUCUUCUUAAUUUUUUAACACGUGAUCAAAAUUAUAUCUUUUUGUGUCUUUUGCUCCAACUUCCCUCUAUUUUUGCUUUCUUAAAAACAAAUUAAAACAAACUCACUCGAUAGAAUUCACUAACUUAAUCUUUUUUUAAAGAAAAAACAAGCUUAAUCUUAAUAAAUAUAUAAAGAGUUAAAAAUAAUUUACAAUCUAUUUUCUUUCUCUUUCUCUAAUUAUGAAGUUAAUGACCGAUAAAAACAAAUUUUUGCCUCAUCUUAAUAUUUUGACACCUCAACAUAUAUUUAUCUUUGUAUGUCUUUUGUAACAAAAUAUCCUAUUUCGCUGAGGGAGAAAAUAACUUUCAAAAGAUUGAUGUGAUUUUAUAACAAAAAAUUCAUUUUAUAUUGAUAUAUCUAUACAAUCUAAAAUAUUUGAAUACCGGACAAAUUACUCUUAAAAAAAAAAAUCAUCGGCAAAUUAUAAUAACCUCCCUUAAGAUCUUCUUAAAUACUAACCUUCCUUAAGGUCUUCUUAAUUGAAAAGCACUUCCCCUAUAAUAUAACACGGUUUAAACUUCGUUCAUUCUAUUUUUUUUAGCAAUUAACUUCUCCAUACGAGUAUAAACUCACUUAAUUUUUCGACCAUUUUUUCUUUCCAUUUUUCACUUUAGUGAUUUUCUCAACUUAUUGUUCCUCAAUUAAGGUGAUUUAAUUUUUAAACUCUAAUAUAAUAAAACGGAUAUAUCAAAGAUUAUUUUCUUUUCAUUGAUCAACUGCAAUGUCCAUCCACUAAAAUUCUUCUCAUUUCUAUAUUCUCUCCUGAUCUCUUAUGUAAUUGCCGAUGUUUGAUUCUAUUUGGCGGUAUGAACAAAUGUUGUUAUUGUUUCUUCAUUGCGAGAAAAAAACUCAUUUAAACAUAAUUGUGAAAAGAGAAAUUAGAUACAAACAAACCAAAAUGACUGAAAUUAAAUUGUAUAUUUACAAAGUUAUUGAAAUGGAAAAAAUGUGGGAAGAUUGAUGUGUUGGAAAAUUAGAAGGCGUGCUUGUGUUAUUUAAGAAAAUCUCAAGGGAUGUCAAUGUAAUUUACCCUUUUAUCAUUAAUGUUGACUUUAUCAUUAGUUUUUUCUUAUUUUUUCAAUUCAUAUAGCAUUGCAAUGCGCUUUGAUGCAUACCCCCGCUUCAAAUUAGCUCGUGCGGAGAGCACGGGUUUGUUGCUAGUUGAUAUAAAUAAUGUGAUUGAUGUCACUUUCAGUUAGCCCCCAAAACUUUGCAUAAAGGGUGAUUCACUGUCAAUUAAAAUUUCUGAAGAUUUAUACCAAGUAGGGUUGGAAAAAUACAAGAACGAAUUGCAUGGUAGAUUUAAGUUGUAAAGGAGGAUAUGCCACCAUGGUCGUAUCUGAGGUAGGAUAAAGAGAACGACUGUACUAGACUUCAAAAAAUAAGUUCAAAAAAAUACAAAAAUAAUACUUAAAAGUUUAGUUCUUUGUUGGCACAUAUCUAGAAAUGCUUGUAGAAAUUGUUUUGUAUGAGCAUUUAAAUAUUAAAUAAAAAAUCAUAAUUUUAUACGAAGUUUGAUAUUUUUAUUAGAUUAUUUCUUAGCGUAAUAAAAACCAUCAUUUUCAAGUAAAUUAUUUUCACACUUUAGAAAUUCAAUUUUUUUAUAUGCUUAUUAUUUAAGACUCAAAUUGUAGAUUUACCCUUAGGACACCAAAAUCUUAGAAACGAACAUGUAUGUCACUCAAGUCGGAUGACCUUCAAUUCAAAUUAGCCAAAUUAUUGAAAUCAUUAUGUCAUUGAAAAAAUGAUACCACUAGGUAAGGGUUUUUACGAAAUUUCAUUUAGUUUCUAAAGAGGGUUUAAGAAGGACAUGGAUUAUGGGAGCACAAUCUUUGCAUUUGGGUAUCUUGUCUUUGCUUCGAUGGACACCAGAUUUCAGUUUAAGGAAACGAAGACAAACAAAUGUAGAAUGUUGUUAUCUCCAGUUAUACUUCCUUCAAUUUGUGAGUAAGUAAAAUUAUGGCUUAAUUACCUAUUUUGUUUCUUUCACUGAAUUACAUAAAACAUGUGACAUGUCUAAAAGAAAUUCAAUUUGGCUAUCAACAUUGUUGAAUGUGACUUAAACUUUCAUGUUUGAAUGGUGAAAAAAUGGUUUGCUAUUGUCCAAUAUGAAAGGCAUAUCCGGUGGUGAGGCGCAAGGCAUACUCUGGGUGUUUUUAUCACAUUUCGGUUCUGUCCCACAUGCCUUGCGCAUGGAGCAACAUGCAAGGCGCAUCCUGGAUAUGCUAACUUGAUGCAAGGUGCCUACAUCAGGUACAUCAUCUAUGAUUUCCAGUUUUCUCAUUCUUUUGUGAUUAAUCUUAUGAAACUAAAGAAGAUAGCUCUUAAGUAUCUUAGAGGCUAAAAGUAGAGGGUCUUUGUGUGAGAUUUUUAGGUUGGGCGGGAAACACAUUGUAAAUUUGAAUGUUGGCAACAAGUUAUGCAAGCUGAACUUUCUGCUCUUGAGACUCCUGGUACAUGGAAAAUUGUGGAUUUACCAUAAAAUGUGAAACAAAUAGGUUACAGAUGGAUUUAUAAGAUCAAACAUUAUGUUGAUGGAUCUAUUGAGAGGUACAAAGCCAGACUUAUUGCAAAAGGGUACAAUAUUUGAUAGAAAGACUUGAUUAUUUUAUCGCAUACUCACCAGUUGAUGUAAUAUUUUAGAAAAAUAACAAUAUUGUAUUUUGUUCUAUUGUUUGCACAUUUCACAUUUGUGUCACUAGUGUUCAGUUUUGAAAAUUUUACAUCACUCUAUUAUUUUAUUGUUGCCCGUGAAUGGGUGACUCAAAAACUUAUUUAAAACACACGUCAGGAUGGACCGAUCUAUACCACAUGAAGCAAUUUUAUUUAUUUAUUUUAAACAAUGUACCUUUUGGACAUUGUGUGGUCACAAAUUCUUCAAAAAUAAAAUUUAAAUUAUUUACACAUAUGCAAAUGAAAAAAUUAGAAAAAAAAGAAGCGAUAUCUUUUAUUAUCAUUUUUUUGAAGAGACUAAAAUGAAUUAUAUUACCACCACGAAAGUCUUCCUAGCACAAGGGAUGUCAAGGAAUAAAAACCUCAAAGUCAAACAAAAUAAUAAAUUACAACAAGGCAAAAGCCAUCACCACAAAACAACCUGAAACAACACAACAAUUAUCCUAUGCCUAGUAAAGUGAACGAACUAAGCCACCAACCAUGAUAGUUAAAAUGAAGAGUAGCAUACUUCGCCUUCAACCACUUGAAUGUUAGCAACUUAAUCCUAUCCACCACCUGCAUAAUGGCGCUAUCAUUAGCAUUAAAAAUUAUGUUGUUUCUUUCCUUCCAUAUUUCCCACAUAGUCGCAAACCAAAUCACCUGAAGAAUAGAUUGCCUCGACUUAGAGCCACCGCUUAAAAAACUGAAUUGAAUAAAAUGCCCCGAAACAUCUAAAGGCAUCGCUGUAGCUAUACCAAUCCAUUGAUAUAUAUAAUUCCAAACCGAUCCAAAAAGACUACAAUGUAAGAAUAAAUGGUUUUAUGUUUCAACAAAACCGCAUCCACCAACACAAAUUUGAGCGUCAAAAUCUAAAACAUGACGCCUAUGAAGAUUAACCUUUGUAGGAAGCCGGUCACGAAAUACACGCCACGCAAAAAGCACCACCUUCAAAGGGACAUCCUUAUGCCAAAAAGAAGGCAAACGCACCACAUUAUCAACAUGAACCUGCGCCAUGAGAGUAGUGUCUGCACUUUUUACUGUAUAACAGGAAGUAGGAUCCGCGUUCCACUUCCAAAAAUCCUUUAUGUGAACCUGAAAAGAAACAUUUUGAAGUAAAAGCCUAAGCUCCCCUACCGACUCUUCCUCCCAAGCCCACAGCCUACGCCUCCACCUCCACGCCCCACCCUCCUCCUCCCACCCUAACGCUCUCAUCGCUGCAACAGACUCCUCCUUUAGAAGCGACAACUCAUACAACCUACUAAAUCUAUCCCGAAGCGACACUCGCUUCACCCAAACAUCCGUCCAAAACAAGACACUAGACCCAUCACCCAAAGAACGACUAAUAUUAUUAUUAAACCAGCCCUCAGAUCGCAAGGCCACUAUACUUCGCCACCACGCGGAACCAUCACGACCUCCACUACACAAGUGACCGCCCUCCAAACCAUUUCGCGCCGCUAACACCCUAAACCACAGACUAUCCCUAUCCACCAACACCACUUCCCUAAUAAUGCUAAAUUAAAUUCUUUAAUUCUCCUAACCCCCAAACCUCCAACUUCCUGACUCCGACAAACAGAAUUCCAAUCAACCCAAAUAAUUUUCCUGUGGUCUGCACUCCCCCCCCCCCCAAAAAAAAUUAUUUAAAAUAGAUUCAAUAGAAGAAACAAUACCUGACGGAGCCUUGAAAAAAGAAAGAGCAUAAACAGGCAGGGACGAUAGGACGGACUUCAGUAGAACCAACCGGCCACCCAAAGACAAGUGUUUCGACUUCCAACCCAACAAUCUAGACUUAAGACGGAAUGAUUUAUAUUUUGUAUAUGUACCUAAAUGAUUUGAAUUCGUGGUUGUGACCACACAAAACUUAUCCGACAGAAUGAUCAAUAGACUAUGUAGACAAUUGAAAUAUAUUAAAUAAUCAUUUUCGGAUAUCCCUUACUUUGUAGAGGUGUCAAAUGAAUUGAUCCGACUCAGUCCGGACUGAGAGGUCCGACUACAUAAUUUGGUCAGAACGACCCAACCCAUUUGUAACUGGACCGCAUAUUAUAGAGCCCGACCUGAUCUAUAGGUCAUGGACCAACCCGACCCGUUUAUUUAUUUAUUCACUUUUUUUUCUUUCUUUUUUUUUAUGUAUUUUUUAUAUAUUAGUUACCCACAACAAUCUUUUUUCUCAAAUAUGAUUGGAUGAACAUAGAAAUGCAAAUAAUUUUUACAUUAACAUUAAAUACUAAUUAAACUUGAGAUUUAUUCCUUCAAUUGAUUCAAUUAAUAAUUUAUAAACUUUAGAAUUUUAAAUCUUUGAGCUAAAUUUAUCCGAUUUUAUUAAGUUUACUUAUUUAAUUUUUUUUUUUAUUAAUGACUAUUAAAGCAGUUGAUAAAGUCUUAAAAAAUAUAGCGUUUUUAACAAAAAUCAAAUGGAAAUAUUGAUAGUGGACCGGUCCGAAGCCUGAUAGGUUAGCCCGACUCGGCCUAUUUUUAUAUGAAAAUUACUCUUCUUCCUUUUAAAAUUGUUUAUUCUCUUAAGAUCGGUUGACCCGACUGAAAAUGUGAUUGAAUCGAUUUUAAAAGUGUUAGCAAGAGUUAACUACCGCUGAAAAAUACCUAACGUGAGUUAACUUCCGCUUAUAUAAGAGAAUGAUCAAUUUUGAAAGGAAUAAGAGCAAUUUUCUUUUUAUAUGGGUCAAAUGAGUUACGGUCAAAAAAGUCCGAAAAAUGCUCUUCUCUCAAAAAGAUUUGCUCACUUCCAACCAAACUUACAAAAAUACUCCACAUAAGUUAAGUCACACAUAUAUUAAACUCAGCAUGACUUAACUCACGUUAAAAAUUUAAACUGAACUGCAACAUAAAUUAACUCACCUUAGUUUUCUUUCUCAAGUUUCACAUGAAAAUCUUGCUCCUGCUAAGAUGCUUAUUUAAUUAUUUAAUAUAUUGCUGUUGAUAUGAUUGUGUGUACCUGUCGCAGUAAUGCAAAGUAGAAGGUAUCCAGCAUGACCCAUACCAUGAUGCUAGCAGCAGUACACACGUGUGUUGUUAGGACAGCAAGAGAUGCAAUGGUCCAUACACCCAUUUAAACCAUUAUAAGCAUUGGAGGAGCAAGAUUUUCAUGUGAAAAUUGAGAAAGAAAACCAGCGUCAGUUAACUUACGAUGGGAUUUAGUGUGAGUUUUUAGCAUGGCUUAAGUCACGUAGGUUGUAUUCCAGUAUGAUUUAAGUAAGUUGGGUUUAACACUUGCGUGAUUUAACUCACGCGAGGAUAUUUUCAAAAAUUUGGUUGAGAAUAAACAAAUCUUGUUGAAAAAAGAGCAUUUUUCAAAAAGUCCGAAUGCAUUUUGGGCCGUCUUUUUUAGAUCCAGCCCAAAAUGUGUUAGUUUUUGCAAUCUCUACCUACUUGCCAUCUCACUAUUAACAACGAUUUAUCAACUAAACUAAACAAUGCCAUUUUUUAUACAUGCACUAAAUAAUGUGAUUGAUGUCACUGUCACACAACCCCCAAAACUUUGCAUAAAGGGGGAUUCAUUGUCAAUAAAAAUUCCUAGGAUUUAUACCAACCAGGGUUGGAAAAAUACAAAAACAAACUGCAUGGUAGAUUUACGCUGCAAAGAGGGAUAUGCCAUGGCCGUAUCUUAGGCAGGGCAAAGAGGACGAUCAUACUAGUUCUCACAUAAUAACUUCAAAUUUAGAUCUCAAAAUUCAAAAAUAAUAUUUAAAUAUUUAGUUCUUUGUUGGCACAUAUCUAAAAAUGCUCAUAGAAAUUGUUUUGUAUGAGUAAUUAAUAUUAAAUAAAAAAUUUCAAUAUUUUAUAUGAAGUCCAAUGUUUUAUUAGAUUAUUUCUUAGCGUAAUAAAAACUAUUAUUUUCAAGCAAAUUUUUUUCACAUUUUAGAAAUUCAAUUUUUUGUAUAUAUUUAUUAAUUAUGAUCCAAAUUGUAGGUUUAUCUUUAAACCACCAAAAUCUUAGAAACGGGCUUGUAUGCAUCUCAAGUCGGACGACCUUCAAUUCAAAUUAGUCAAAUUAUAGAAACCAUUAUGCCGUUGAAAAGAGGCUUUAAGAAGGACCUGAAUUCUGAGAGCACAGACUUUAUAUUUGGGUAUCUUGUGUUUGCUUCAGUGGACACCACACUUCAAUCUAUGGAAACAAAGACAAACAAAUGUACAAUGUUGUUAUCACCAAUUAUAUUUCCUUCAAUUUGCAAAGAAGUAAAAUCAUGGCUUAAUUACAUAUUUAGUUCCUUUCACUGAAUUACAUAAAACAUUUGACAUGUCUUAAAGAAAUCCAAUUUGGCUAUCAACAUUGUUGAAUGUGACUUAAACUUUCAUGUUUGAAUGGUGAAAAAAUGGUUUGUUAUUGUCCAAUAUGCAAGGCAUAUGCGGUGGUGAGGCGCAAGGAGCAUCCUGGAUCUGCUGACUGUGCGCAAGGUGUCUGCAUCAAGUCCAAUAUCUAUGGAAUUUCAGUUUUCUCAUCCUUUUGUGGUUGUGAAACUAAACAAGAUAGCUUUUAAGAAUCUUAGAGACUAACAGUUGAGUUGAGGGUUUUAAGUAAGAUUUUUAGGUUGUGAAACUCAUUAUAAAUAUUUUGGAGAUUAAAAGUAGUUGAGUCUCUUGAUCACAAAAAGAUAUAGAAAAAUGGGUAAAAAUUAGAUUGUUCAUAGAGAACUUGUUCAAGCUAAUUUUUUAUAACUUAUUUUUAUCAUUUGUAAGAAUUAAACUCAUUUAUUGGGAAUUGGAGAGUUGCAUUUUCCCAUAUGUAGGUUAUUAUUGUUGGACCAAACUGAAAACCAAAUCUUGAUGUGUUUAUUUCUCUACUCUCUUUAUUUUGUUGUUGUUGCUUUGAUUGUGGAUUUUCUUUACGCUUUUUUGUUACAUCGACAAUUAUAAAAAAUUAACAAUCUAUUGAAACUCAUUUCAAGCGCUCUAAGUGUUUAAGAACAAUUUAUGUUGAGUGAUUAAACACAUUUUUUUUUGUAAUAGCUGUAUAUAUCUAUCAAAUGAAGACAAAUUCUUUGUAUUUUUUUCUUUUUAUUUAUUAUAUUUACUUUUUGCUUAAAAAAAACGAAGAGAAAUUCAACAUGCAGGUUGUGUGGUGUCAUUGUUGAAAAAUUGUGAAGUAUAGGUUUCAAGUUGAAUAUUAAAAAAUCCUUAAAAAGUUAGAUGUAUCAUCGAUAAUUUGGAUUAUAGAUGGAUGAUACGAUGGAUACAUACUCAACCAAAUUGUUUUCGUAAGCUGAGUUUUUUGUAUAUAUAUAUUACAACUGACUAGUAGUAUGUUUUAUGCGGAGUUAAUAGACUUAAGAGAAGGUGUCAAUCUUGACCAACAGGGGCUACUUCUAAUUCAACAAUAAUGGAAUAUUAUUAAAUUUGGUCACCAAAACACACAGAGAGUAGUAGAUAGAUGGAAGUUGGUGGCAAUCCAAAUUAGUCCUAUAAAUAUCAAACAAAGUAUAGUUUAUUCAUAACACACUCACUACUACUUUGGUAACUUACUCAGAACAAGAAAAAACAGACACACAUAAACACACUUGUUUUUUUACUAAAGUUAUUUUUUCUUCCAAUGGCAACUGAAAACAAAAUCCUGAUCCUAGGACCAACAGGAGCUAUUGGAAGACACAUAGUUUGGGCAAGUAUUAAAGCAGGAAAUCCAACAUAUGCUUUGGUUAGAAAAACACCUGGCAAUGUUAACAAGCCAAAGCUUAUUACAGCUGCUAAUCCUGAAACCAAGGAAGAGCUUAUUGAUAAUUACCAAUCUUUAGGAGUUAUUCUACUUGAAGUAAGUGAUUUCAAUUUCUGAAAUAAUUUUAUAUUUUAUACUAAUU